CGGCACUCCAGAUGUUUUAGACUACAUUCCCCAUAAUGCUCUUACACCCAUAAUGCUGAUAUAGCAUUAUGGGCGGUGUAGUUCAAAACAUCUGGAGUGCCG